AAAUUACUCCCUCCGUCCCAAAAUUCUUGUCUUAGAUUUAUCUAGAUACAGAUGUAUCAAGUCACAUUUUAGUAUUAGAUACAUCUGUAUCUAGAAAAAUCUAAGACAAGAAAUUUGGGACAGAGGGAGUAGUUG
rnacentral:pre_miRNA from 1 species